rnacentral:rRNA from 1 species
CCUACGGGAGGCAGCAGUGGGGAAUCUUGCGCAAUGGGCGAAAGCCUGACGCAGCGACGCCGCGUGAGUGAUGAAGGCCUUCGGGUUGUAAAGCUCUGUGGAGGGGGACGAAUAAGGGUUGGCUAAUAUCCAACCUGAUGACGGUACCCCUUUAGCAGGCACCGGCUAACUCUGUGCCAGCAGCCGCGGUAAGACAGAGGGUGCAAACGUUGUUCGGAAUUACUGGGCGUAAAGCGCGUGUAGGCUGCUUGGAAAGUCGGAUGUGAAAGCCCUGGGCUUAACCCAGGAAGUGUACUCGAAACUUCCAAGCUUGAGUUCUGGAGAGGGAAGCGGAAUUCUCGGUGUAGAGGUGAAAUUCGUAGAUAUCGAGAGGAACACCGGUGGCGAAGGCGGCUUCCUGGACAGUGACUGACGCUGAGACGCGAAAGCGUGGGGAGCAGACAGGAUUAGAUACCCCAGUAGUC